GGUUCCGCAGUGUAGUGGUUAGUACAUCUGCUUUACAUGCAGAAGGUCUUGAGUUUGCGCCCCAGGUGGAGCCA
rfam:Pteropus alecto contig26771, whole genome shotgun sequence.